GAUGAACGCUGGCGGCGUGCCUAAUACAUGCAAGUCGAGCGAAUGGAUUAAGAGCUUGCUCUUAUGAAGUUAGCGGCGGACGGGUGUGUAACACGUGGGUAACCUGCCCAUAAGACUGGGAUAACUCCGGGAAACCGGGGCUAAUACCGGAUAACAUUUUGAACCGCAUGGUUCGAAAUUGAAAGGCGGCUUCGUCUGUCACUUAUGGAUGGACCCGCGUCGCAUUAGCUAGUUGGUGAGGUAACGGCUCACCAAGGCAACGAUGCGUAGCCGACCUGAGAGGGUGAUCGGCCACACUGGGACUGAGACACGGCCCAGACUCCUACGGGAGGCAGCAGUAGGGAAUCUUCCGCAAUGGACGAAAGUCUGACGGAGCAACGCUGCGUGAGUGAUGAAGGCUUUCGGGUCGUAAAACUCUGUUGUUAGGGAAGAACAAGUGCUAGUUGAAUAAGCUGGCACCUUGACGGUACCUAACCAGAAAGCCACGGCUAACUACGUGCCAGCCGCCGCCGUAA
rnacentral:rRNA from 1 species